AGAAUCCUGCCCUCCUUGCCACUGACGGGACCAUCCGCACUGGGUCAGCCUAUGAGCAACACUGACCUGAUUCACCUGCACGCCUUCAUUCCCCCACCUUCAUCCUCCUCCUCGCAGAGGUGAUCAGAUGUUUGCAGAAUCCAUCCCAGGAAACCACAUGACAUUUGGUCAUCUGCCAUUGCAUUCCUUUACGUGUAUGAUCAAGUGGUUCCCUGAGGGCUUUGAUGAUCAGGGCAGAGGCAGAAGGCACCACCUCAAUCUGGG
rnacentral:lncRNA from 1 species